rnacentral:rRNA from 1 species
GAUAAACGCUGGCGGCGUGCCUAACACAUGCAAGUCGAACGUCCUUGCGCAAGCAAGGGAGUGGCGGACGGGUGAGGAACACGUGGGGCAUCUACCUUCGGGUGAGGAAUACCGGCGAGAAAUCGCCGACAAGACCGCAUACGCUCUUUCGCAAGAGAGAGGAAAGCUUCUUUCGCAAGAGAGAGGCGCCAGAAGAGGACCCUGCGUCCGAUUAGUUAGUUGGUGGGGUAAUGGCCUACCAAGACGACGAUCGGUAGCUGGUCUGAGAGGACGAUCA